rfam:Smittium culicis strain GSMNP scaffold-3204, whole genome shotgun sequence.
GCCCGGCUAGCUCAAUCGGUAGAGCGUGAGACUCUUAAUCUCAAGGUUGCGGGUUCGACCCCCGCGUUGGGCU